UCGUCGGCGAAGCCCAGGAAGAUCAUGCAGCAGAUGGCCAGCAGGGCGCCCACCAGCGCCACCAGCUGCAAGGCAGGCGGGCGGGCGGGACAGCCGAGCCG